CCACUAAAAUUUGAUCAGCAGGAUGCAGAAGGAACACUGAAUGCUGAGUGGCUGAUACUGAAUGGAGCCUAGCAUCAAACUGCCUUCAAAGUAUACACAAGACUUAUUGUAUAAUACAAAGCCUGGAUAAACAACUCUCUCCAAACUAGAGGAAAAUGCCUCUCAGCUUUGAUUCAUUUUCCUUGUCACAUUCAGCUGCACUAGGCUGGACUGGUGACCUCCCCCACAGCUGGAGCAGUAACUUCUUCAGCUGCCACAGCAUAAUCCACCAGGGAUCAUCAAUCAGAUGUUUUCACUGCUACAGUUCUUAGCCAGUGAGGUAAUUUAAACUGCCCUUGAUGUUAAGUUACAUCACUAUACCAGACUGAACUGUAAUAGCUAAUGAGAAGGCUACCUGCAUUCAUCAAUAACAAACAGUAACCAUUCUGCUCAUUCUGGCAAACCAUCUCCAAUAAAGGAAUGGGCUGGACAUUUUGGUGAAUAGCUUCUACAAACACUGAAUGUAAAAUCCAGGAUUGUGAAUGGAGUUCCUCAGUUGUCAAACAAGUCAAUAAAAUAAAGUUACUGUUAUGUCUAAGGUGGUCUUGUUUUUAUGAGGUGUAACAGAAUGUUAAGUAAGAAGUUUAUGAUAACCCUUCUAAAUUUUGUUAUCUCAAGCUGCACAAUGAAAGAGACAUUACAACUGACAGCUUCUCAAGACAUCAUUAUGUCAUGCGUGUGCAAGACACUGCUAAGCUGCAAAGAAGAUUAGUUCCCAAGAGUAGAAGCUUCUCUGAAUCUUAAGCAAAACUAGCUCCAGCUCUCAUGUGUUGCAGGUCAGCUGAUGGAUGGGCAGAGAAGAAAGGAACCUUGUGUAGGAGCUCAUUCCUCAUUGAUCAGAGCAAGCCAGCAUACCAAAUAUCUCCCUGGGGCUGCAGAAAGAAGGAUGAAAGCACAAGGAAAACUAAGACCAAUAAACAAACACUGAUCCUUUCAGAAAAAAACAAUUUUAAGGAAGUGCUGAAAUUUUCAGAGAAUUUCAUGCAGAUAUUAUAAAGAUAUGAGAAGAUUCAUGUUGGAUUGUGUUACAGAACAGCCUCCUUAGGGCUAAGAGCAUUUUCCCGAAUUUUUACCUCUCCAGCUAACACUGUUAGAAACCAGGCAAUCAGGAGCAAAUCUAUUUUAUUAGCCAGAUGUGCGACUUUCAUUCUUGGCAGCUGGCAGCUGAGAACUUGUAAAUGUGCAUUCACCUACUUCAUUUUUAAGCAACAUCACUGCCAACUAGCAAAUUCAUCCUGACAUUUGGUAAUUUCUUUUGUCUGCCUUCCUACUUCUCUACCUCAGCAAUAAUGGC
rnacentral:lncRNA from 1 species